rnacentral:rRNA from 1 species
GACGAACGCUGGCGGCGUGCUUAACACAUGCAAGUCGAACGGAAAGGCCCCGCUUUUGUGGGGUGCUCGAGUGGCGAACGGGUGAGUAACACGUGAGUAACCUGCCCUUGACUUUGGGAUAACUUCAGGAAACUGGGGCUAAUACCGGAUAGGAGCUCCUGCUGCAUGGUGGGGGUUGGAAAGUUUCGGCGGUUGGGGAUGGACUCGCGGCUUAUCAGCUUGUUGGUGGGGUAGUGGCUUACCAAGGCUUUGACGGGUAGCCGGCCUGAGAGGGUGACCGGCCACAUUGGGACUGAGAUACGGCGCAGACUCCUACGGGAGGCAGCAGUGGGGAAUAUUGCACAAUGGGCGGAAGCCUGAUGCAGCAACGCCGCGUGCGGGAUGACGGCCUUCGGGUUGUAAACCGCUUUCGCCUGUGACGAAGCGUGAGUGACGGUAAUGGGUAAAGAAGCACCGGCUAACUACGUG